rnacentral:ncRNA from 27 species
UCAAGAUCUGGAGAUGACACGCCUCCAUAACCGCCCUAACAAGGCUAAUGAUGUCUACGUGACC